rnacentral:misc_RNA from 1 species
GUUGAAGAACGUAGCGAAAUGCGAUAAGUAAUGUGAAUUGCAGAAUUCAGUGAAUCAUCGAAUCUUUGAACGCACAUUGCGCCCCUUGGUAUUCCGAGGGGCAUGCCUGUUCGAGCGUCAUUUUGACCACUCCCGCUUGCGGGGUCUUGGGCCUUCGCCUCUGGGCGGGCCUUAAAAUCAGUGGCGGUGCCGUCCGGCUCCAAGCGUAGUAAAUCUCCUCGCUAUAGGGUUCCGGAGGGAUGCUGGCCAACAACCCCCAACUUUUAAGGUUGACCUCGGAUCAGGUAGGGAUACCCGCUGAACUUAAGCAUAUCAAUAAGCGGAGGA